UGGCUGCAGUCGAGAUCUUUCGCAUGGGCGCAAGCCUGACGAAGCGACGCCGUGUGAGCGAAGAAGGCCUUCGGGUUGUAAAGCUCUUUCGCUAGGGAACAAGAAAGGGGCAUUAAUACCGCUCCAAUUUGAUGGUACUUGGUAAAGAAGCACCGGCUAACUCC
rnacentral:rRNA from 1 species